rnacentral:lncRNA from 1 species
GGAUCACUUCCGAAACCACUUGGCCUUCAGCCCCUGCCUCGGCCAGAGGUUUCAUUUUUAACUGAAUAUUUACCAAAGCUGAAAGCGUGCGAGGGGGGUGGGGUGGAAAUAGCGGCUGCUUCUUUUCCAAGGAUUUAUUUAAUGGGGAUGUGUUCAAGGCAAGACCGAAUUCAGAAGGAUAUCGACGUCGUGAUCCAGAAGUCCAGAGCUGAGGACUGCCUGUUUGCAGCUUUAAAUCAUCUAGGAACUUCAUAUAAAAUUUAAUUCCAGUUUCAACUAGUUGUGGAGCAUUUGAUCCAAAAUAAAAUGAAAGUCCUCUCUGAAGUUGUAGAGGAGACUCAAGAAUCAGAACAACCUGAAGUUCUUUAAGCUGUCAGUUGAAGGACUAGGAGUGAAGGCAAUUUUGAAGGCAUGACUACGACCUGCUCUGGCCACAAGAGCUAAGAGUUGCCAGGUGUUGUGGCUCAAACACUUUGAGAUGCCAAUCCCAACACUUUGAGAGGCCAAGGCAGGAGGAUUGCUUGAGGCUAGGAGCUUGAAACCAGCCUGGGCAACACAGCGAGACCCCAUCUCUACAAAAAAUAAAAAAACAGGCCAGGCGCAGUGGCACUUAGGGAGGCCAAGGUGGGUGGAUCACCUGAGGUCAGGAGUUCGAGACCAGCCUGACCAACAUGGAGAAACCCCGUCUCUACAAAAAAUACAAAGUUUGCCAGUGUGGUGGCACAUGCCUGUUAUCCCAGCUACUCAGGAGGCUGAGGCAGGAGAAUCGCUUGAACCCGAAAGGCAGAGGUUGCAGUGAGUGGAGAUCAUGCCAUUGCACUCCAGCCUGCGCAACAAG